rnacentral:rRNA from 1 species
GACGGGGGGUCCUAGCGUUGUUCGGAAUUAUUGGGCGUAAAGCGUGCGCAGGCGGUUUUGUAAGUCUGUCGUGAAAUCCCCGGGCUCAACCUGGGAAUGGCGAUGGAGACUGCAAGGCUAGAGUUUGGCAGAGGGGGGUAGAAUUCCACGUGUAGCAGUGAAAUGCGUAGAGAUGUGGAGGAACACCGAUGGCGAAGGCAGCCCCCUGGGUCAAAACUGACGCUCAUGCACGAAAGCGUGGGGAGCAAACAGG